UGGGGAAUAUUGGACAAUGGGCGGAAGCCUGAUCCAGCCAUGCCGCGUGAGUGAUGAAGGCCUUCGGGUUGUAAAGCUCUUUCGCACACGACGAUGAUGACGGUAGUGUGAGAAGAAGCCCCGGCUAACUUCGUGCCAGCAGCCGCGGUAAUACGGAGGGGGCUAGCGUUGUUCGGAAUUACUGGGCGUAAAGCGUACGUAGGCGGAUGCGCAAGUUGGGGGUGAAAUCCCGGGGCUUAACCUCGGAAUUGCCCUCAAAACUGCACGUCUUGAGACCGAGAGAGGUUAGGGGAAUUCCUAGUGUAGAGGUGAAAUUCGUAGAUAUUAGGAAGAACGCCAGUGGCGAAGGCGCCUUACUGGCUCGGUACUGACGCUGAGGUACGAAAGCGUGGGGAGCAAACA
rnacentral:rRNA from 1 species